UCAAAAACAUUGUCACCUGACCCAUCUAUAAGUGAUAAAUCCUGCCCCAUGAUAGAUUUAAAUGGCCGCGGUACCCUGACCGUGCAAAGGUAGCAUAAUCACUCGCCUAUUAAUUGUAGGCUGGUAUGAAUGGAUAAACGAAGUCAUCACUCUCCCACUUAAGAACCUAAAACCUAAUCUCUAAGUGAAGAAGCUUAGAUUAUACCGAAGGACAAGAAGACCCUGUAGAGCUUUACUUUACACCUGAAUAAAAUUCAGACGAUAGUUCGGUUGGGGCGACCCGGGAAAUAUUUAACUUCCCUUAUAUAUAAGACCUACUAGUCCUAAUUAGAUCCUAAUUUUUAGAUCAUAGAAACUAGCUACCUUAGGGAUAACAGGCUAAUUUUUCUUUAAGAGUCCUUAUUAACAAGAAAGUUUGGCACCUCGAUGUUGGCUUAGGAUCUCUCCAUGAUGCAGCCGUCAUGAAUAGAUGGUUUGUUCAACCAUUAAUAUCCUACGUGAUCUGAGUU
rnacentral:rRNA from 1 species